UACCUGGGUGAUUCUGCCAGUAGUCAUAUGCUUGUCUCAAAGAUUAAGCCAUGCAUGUCUAAGUAUAAGCAAUUAUACGGCGAAACCCAGAAGUAAAAACAACCGGGAGCCUGCGGCUUAAUUUGACUCAACACGGGGAAACUCACCAGGUCCAGACACAAUGAGGAUUGACAGAUUGAGAGCUCUUUCUUGAUUUUGUGGGUGGUGGUGCAUGGCAGAUGGAACAAUGGGCAAUCCGCAGCCAAGUCCUACGUCCGGUCCCCCCCCUCCCCUGGGGUUGGGGGGCGCCUGGAUAUGGAUGCAGUUCAACGACUAAACGGUGAUGGGCUGGCGCAGGGAGGCGCCGGCGAUGGUUCAUUCAAAUUUCUUCCCUAUCAACUUUCGAUGUUUGGGUAGUGGCCAAACAUGGUUGCAACGGGGAACGGAGGGUUAGGGCUCGACCCCGGAGAAGGAGCCUGAGAAACGGCUACUACAUCCAAGGAAGGCAGCAGGCGCGCAAAUUACCCAAUCCCGAUCCGGGGAGGUAGUGACAAUAAAUACUGAUACAGGGCUCUUUUGGGUCUUGUAAUUGGAAUGAGUACAAUUUAAAUCCCUUAACGAGGAACAAUUGGAGGGCAAGUCUGGUGCCAGCAGCCGCGGUAAUUCCAGCUCCAAUAGCGUAUAUUAAAGUUGUUGUGGUUAAAAAGCUCGUAGUUGAACCUUGGGCCUGGCUGGCCGGUCCGCCUCACCGCGUGCACUGGUCCGGCCGGGCCUUUCCCUCUGUGGAACCCCAUGCCCUUCACUGGGUGUGGCGGGGAAACAGGACUUUUACUUUGAAAAAAUUAGAGUGCUCCAGGCAGGCCUAUGCUCGAAUACAUUAGCAUGGAAUAAUGAAAGUGUAACAACUCACCUGCCGAAUGUACUAGCCCUGAAAAUGGAUGGCGCUCAAGCGUCUCACCCAUACCUCGCCCUCAGGGUAGAAACGAAGUAAUGAUUAAUAGGGACAGUCGGGGGCAUCAGUAUUCAAUUGUCAGAGGUGAAAUUCUUGGAUUUAUUGAAGACUAACUACUGCGAAAGCAUUUGCCAAGGAUGUUUUCAUUAAUCAGGAACGAAAGUUAGGGGAUCGAAGACGAUCAGAUACCGUCGUAGUCUUAACCAUAAACUAUGCCGACUAGGGAUCGGACGAUGUUAUUUUUUGACUCGUUCGGCACCUUACGAGAAAUCAAAGUGCUUGGGCUCCAGGGGGAGGAUGGUCGCAAGGCUGAAACUUAAAGAAAUUGACGGAAGGGCACCACCAGGGGUAAACCUGACCUGUGAAGCCGCAGUCAACUCUGCUCCAGAAAGCCGCCCGAAAGGGUCGGUGGUAGCCUCCUCUGCGUAGUAAUUCAGUUAUCCUCGCACUUGGAGCGCGGCGCGGCCACUGCCCGUAAAACGCCCAACUUCUCAAGAGUUGACCUCGAAUCGGCGAUCUGUCCGCGGCGCAGGAAGCGCGCCGCGGUGUUUCGCGUAUUGUAAUUUCAACACGAGCGGGGUCAAAUCCUUUGCAGACGACUUAGCUGUGCGAAACGGUCCUGUGAGCAGUAGAGUAGCCUUGUGCGGCCUCUACGGGGGUCGCAUACGGGGAAGGUUCAGAGACUUGACGGGGGUGGGUGGCGCGGGCUCUUGGGGUGCAAGCCGCGUGCUUGCUUGCAGGCCCAGGCGCCCGCCGCUGCCUAAGAUAAAGUCCGGUAGACGGGCGGCGACGACGACGACGAGUACGAGGACGACGAGAUUGCCUCUGCGUCUGCGAGGGCCGAGACGGUGCAGGGUAAGCCGGCUGACUUGGCUUUGACUUUGCUUCAACCGGGAGCCUGCGGCUUAAUUUGACUCAACACGGGGAAACUCACCAGGUCCAGACACAAUGAGGAUUGACAGAUUGAGAGCUCUUUCUUGAUUUUGUGGGUGGUGGUGCAUGGCCGUUCUUAGUUGGUGGAGUGAUUUGUCUGCUUAAUUGCGAUAACGAACGAGACCUUAACCUGCUAAAUAGCCCGUAUUGCUUUGGCAGUCCGCCGGCUUCUUAGAGGGACUAUCGGCUCAAGCCGAUGGAAGUUUGAGGCAAUAACAGGUCUGUGAUGCCCUUAGAUGGAUGCAGUUCAACGACUAAACGGUGAUGGGCUGGCGCAGGGAGGUGCGGCCUGCACGCUCCUGCGCCCCGGCUUAAGAUAUAGUCUACUCCUGCUCCAAUUGGAAUGAGUACAAUUUAAAUCCCUUAACGAGGAACAAUUGGAGGGCAAGUCUGGUGCCAGCAGCCGCGGUAAUUCCAGCUCCAAUAGCGUAUAUUAAAGUUGUUGUCAGCUUGCGUUGAUUACGUCCCUGCCCUUUGUACACACCGCCCGUCGCUACUACCGAUUGAAUGGCUCAGUGAGGCGUCCGGACUGGCCCAGAGAGGUGGGCAACUACCCCUCAGGGCCGGAAAGCUCUCCAAACUCGGUCAUUUAGAGGAAGUAAAAGUCGUAACAAGGUCUCCGUUGGUGAACCAG
rnacentral:rRNA from 1 species